CUCGGGUCAAAAUAUAUUCAGUAUAUUCUAAACAAGCGCGCGACGUGCUUACACGUCUUGUUCGUGCGCGCGAAUUCGUGUCUCGUUGGACGAAACGCUGAAAUUUCAACGGUGACUUUGUAUCAGUGCUACGAUUACAUAAAAUUAGUGCGUACAGAAUUAGUUCGAAAUGAGUUCAUGAUUUCUCGAUGAAUCGAACGGUUUUCGUGUGUUAAUUCGGAAGAGAAACAACGCGGUAGAAGAUACGAGAGGAAAGACUGCCAACUAGGUGGACUGCCCACGCGACAUUGAACAUCGAAGAAAAGGCAAAAAGCAUCGUCCCAUUCGAAGAAUACAUCGAUAGUUGACAUUUUUGUAAGAAAGAUCGCGGGGAAAGGAGCGGGGAAAGCAUGGCCUUCGGGAAAUAAAAUUGUACGCGCCGUGUGAGAUUGCGGGCCGAGCAUUCCCACGAAAAAGAUAUUAGUUCCUCGAACCCCGUUGCGUUCGUUUCCUUUCCAAGUUGUUCGAGUGGUGAACAAAGAGGAAGAGGAGGAAAAGGAGGAG